AUGGCAUGUGCUCCGGCGAGUCUCCAUUGCUCGAUGUCGCUCUGGCAGGCCUUUAUUAUACUGAGUGCACUUGGUGUCUUUCCUCUGAAUAUGCAUCUGUUUCUCUCAAGCCAGAUUUGCCAGGCGACCAAUGUCACCAUAGUCUUGAAUCCUCUUCUUUCCCUUGGGGCCGCGGCGUUUAGGAUUGCGGUGGCAGCAUCUGUUGUAGUGUUGCAUGUACUCCAGGAUGCUGGGGAGAGCGCCGCACAGCCCAUCCAAGUGGCUGCCUUAACCCAAACCUCCUUUGAUAUGUUGCAUUUCCAAAUUAGGUGGAAGGAGGACUCAAGGUUGCGGCAGCAGAGCUGGCAGAAGUAG
rnacentral:rRNA from 1 species